rnacentral:rRNA from 1 species
UACGUAGGGGGCUAGCGUUGUCCGGAUUUAUUGGGCGUAAAGAGCGUGUAGGCGGCCAGGUAGGUCUGCUGUGAAAACUCGAGGCUCAACCUCGAGACGUCGGCGGAAACCAUCUGGCUAGAGUCCGGAAGAGGAGAGUGGAAUUCCUGGUGUAGCGGUGAAAUGCGUAGAUAUCUGGAGGAACACCGGUGGCGAAGGCGGCGUCCUGGACCAACACUGACACUGAAAAGCGAAAGCCAGGGGAGCAAACGGG